AUGGCAUUCUUGGAGCCCAUGUCCGCUGCCAACGGCACCGGAUCUGGUGACAGCGACGCCACAUCCACGGCCUCAUCUCCGCCGGCCAGUCUGCGUCUCCGACAUCCCGAGCAAGAGGUGCCUGGCCGGCGACCUGACUACGGGCUCCCACGACCGGCAACGACUCUGACGGUGGCACCUCCGUGGAGCAGCAAACUGACCCCCAAGCACGGACCACCUUCCUCUCCAGAUCGCAGCAGUGACUUGCCUUCUCUGCAGAAGGUUAUAUUGGCUCCAUGGGUAGUUUCAUGUAUUGGGACGCUCUUCAACUUUACGCUCAUUUGCAUUCUUGUAGUCUCAUGGAUUUCUAUAAUAUUUGAAUACGCAGUGCUGAUGGACAGGAAGAACAAUGCCUGUCAUUCAGAUAAUUUGGUGUUCACUCGCUUGCGGAGAUUGGCAUAG
rnacentral:rRNA from 1 species